GCCCGUGUAGCUCAGCGGAUAGAGCAGUGGUUUUCUAAACCAUUGGUCGGGAGUUCGAUUCUCUCCACGGGUACCA
rnacentral:tRNA from 1 species